rnacentral:rRNA from 1 species
AGAGUUUGAUCAUGGCUCAGAAUGAACGCUGGCGGCGUGCUUAACACAUGCAAGUCGUACGAGAAAUCCUUGGCUUGCCAGGGAGAGUAAAGUGGCGCACGGGUGAGUAUCGCGUGGGUAAUCUACCCCUGGAUUCAGGAUAACACUUCGAAAGGGGUGCUAAUACUGGAUAAUAUCCUGAUGGUUUAGGCCAUAAGGAUCAAAGAUAGCCUCUACAUGUAAGCUAUUGUACAGGGAUGAGCCCGCGUACCAUUAGCUAGUUGGUGGGGUAAGGGCCUACCAAGGCAACGAUGGUUAGCUGGUCUGAGAGGAUGAUCAGCCACACUGGAACUGAAACACGGUCCAGACUCCUACGGGAGGCAGCAGUGAGGAAUUUUGCGCAAUGGGGGAAACCCUGACGCAGCAACGCCGCGUGAGUGAAGAAGGCUUUCGGGUCGUAAAGCUCUGUCAAGAGGGAAGAAAGUGGAAGGUGGUAAUACUGUUUUCAAUUGACGGUACCUCUGAAGGAAGCACCGGCUAACUCCGUGCCAGCAGCCGCGGUAAUACGGGGGGUGCAAGCGUUAUUCGGAUUUAUUGGGCGUAAAGAGCGCGUANGCGGUUUAUCAAGUCAGAUGUGAAAGCCCUGGGCUCA